GACGAACGCUGGCGGCGUGCUUAACACAUGCAAGUCGAACGGAAAGGCCCCCAUCUUGGUGGGGGUGCUCGAGUGGCGAACGGGUGAGUAACACGUGGGUGAUCUGCCCUGUACUUCGGGAUAAGCUUGGGAAACUGGGUCUAAUACCGGAUAGGACCAUGGUUUAGUGUCUCAUGGUGGAAAGAUUAUUGUUUUGGUGCAGGAUGAGCUCGCGGCCUAUCAGCUUGUUGGUGGGGUAAUGGCCUACCAAGGCGUCGACGGGUAGCCGGCCUGAGAGGGUGGACGGCAACAUUGGGACUGAGAUACGGCCCAGACUCCUACGGGAGGCAGCAGUGGGGAAUAUUGCACAAUGGGCGCAAGCCUGAUGCAGCGACGCCGCGUGGGGGAUGACGGCCUUCGGGUUGUAAACUCCUUUCGUUAGGGACGAAGCCACGCUUGUUGGGUGUGGUGACGGUACCUUUGUUAAGAAGCACCGGCUAACUACGUG
rnacentral:rRNA from 1 species